UACGUAGGGUGCAAGCGUUAAUCGGAAUUACUGGGCGUAAAGCGUGCGCAGGCGGCUUUGCAAGACAGAUGUGAAAUCCCCGGGCUCAACCUGGGAACUGCAUUUGUGACUGCAUGGCUAGAGUACGGUAGAGGGGGAUGGAAUUCCGCGUGUAGCAGUGAAAUGCGUAGAUAUGUGGAGGAAUACCGAUGGCGAAGGCAGCCCCCUGGGUCGACACUGACGCUCAUGCACGAAAGCGUGGGGAGCAAACAGG
rnacentral:rRNA from 1 species